rnacentral:miRNA from 1 species
UAAGGCACUCGGUGAAUGCUAA